CAGCCCAGUACAUCACAAAGGGUUCUUGGUACUGACAAUGGCCCCCAAAAGGUGCUUCCAAGAACCCCAUAGGAGGUGGGGUUCAUUGAGGAACCUUCUUAGUUGGUGGGGGUUCUCGCAGGAACCUAACUGCCCAAUUUAAACAUUUUGAUUUGAAAGAUCAACAGGUGCAGGCACUUAACUGAACAAUGUAAAGAUCUCCUCAAUUUAAGGUAUACAGACAAGGAGGCAUACAAAGUUAUAUCAAUUGGUAUGUUAUGCUCAUCACAUGUACCAUCCUCCUCCCUUACCUCUUCAAUGAAUAUCCCAUAGGCCUCUACAUUAUGGACAAGGUGUGUGUCACAUUGGUAUGAAUGAUUCGGGAGACAAGUGCAGGAAUGCGUAAUAUUUUAUUUAUUUCACCCAAAUGACAUGUAAAGGCACGGGGACGAAGACCAACCAAACACGUAUACAACACACAGGGUUGAAACCCAAACAAAAGAGAUUCACGGACUUCACCCUCCCUACACCUCUGAUGAACACAACAGAAAAACUGUUCUAUCACCAUGCACUGCAAAAUCAUUCUGGCUAUGGGAACGGAGAACAUCAACACAUUAAUAUCACCACACCAGAGGAUAUAUCCAUUGGACUUGCUAGGAGUUUACCUCAUAUUUGGAUUUUUUUAUUCUGCUUUGCCACUAAAAUCAUAAUAAACACU